CCUACGGGAGGCAGCAGUGAGGAAUAUUGGUCAAUGGACGAAAGUCUGAACCAGCGAAGUAGCGUGGAGGAUGGCUCGCCUCUGGGUUGUAAGCUUCUUUUAUAUGGGAGUAAAAUGUUCCACGUGUGGGAUUUUGUCUGUACCAUAUGAAUAAGGCUCCGCUAACUCCGUGCCAGCAGCCGCGGUAAUACGGAGGUGCCGAGCGUUAUCCGGAUUUAUUGGGUGUAAAGGGAGCGUAGGUGGAUUGUUAAGACAGGUGUGAAAGUUUGCGGCUCAACCGUAAGAUUGCAGUUGAAACUGGCAGGCUGGAGUACAGGAGAGGCAGGCGGAAUUCGUGGUGUAGCGGUGAAAUGCGUAGAUAUCACGAAGAACACCGAUUGCGAAGGCAGCUUGCUGGACUGUAACUGACACUGAGGCUCGAAGGUGUGGGGAGCAAACAGGAUUAGAUACCCGAGUAGUC
rnacentral:rRNA from 1 species